rnacentral:rRNA from 1 species
ACGGAAGGCAGCAGUAAGGGAUAUUGCACAAUGGGGGAAACCCUGAUGCAGCAACGCCGCGUGAGGGAAGAAGGUUUUCGGAUUGUAAACCUCUGUUUUCAGUGAAGAAACAAAUGACGGUAGCUGAAGAGGAAGCCACGGCUAACUACGUGCCAGCAGCCGCGGUAAUACGUAGGUGGCAAGCGUUGUCCGGAUUUACUGGGUGUAAAGGGUGCGCAGGCGGGACGUCAAGUUGGAUGUGAAAUACCGGGGCUCAACUCCGGAGCUGCAUCCAAAACUUUGGUUCUUGAGUGAAGUAGAGGUAGGCGGAAUUCCGAGUGUAGCGGUAAAAUGCGUAGAUAUUCGGAGGAACACCAGUGGCGAAGGCGGCCUACUGGGCUUUAACUGACGCUGAGGCACGAAAGCAUGGGGAGCAAACAGGAUUAGAUACCCUGGUA